rnacentral:rRNA from 1 species
AUUGAACGCUGGCGGCAGGCCUAACACAUGCAAGUCGAACGGUAACAGGAAACAGCUUGCUGUUUCGCUGACGAGUGGCGGACGGGUGAGUAAUGUCUGGGAAACUGCCUGAUGGAGGGGGAUAACUACUGGAAACGGUAGCUAAUACCGCAUAACGUCGCAAGACCAAAGAGGGGGACCCUCGGGCCUCUUGCCAUCGGAUGUGCCCAGAUGGGAUUAGCUUGUUGGUGGGGUAACGGCUCACCAAGGCGACGAUCCCUAGCUGGUCUGAGAGGAUGACCAGCCACACUGGAACUGAGACACGGUCCAGACUCCUACGGGAGGCAGCAGUGGGGAAUAUUGCACAAUGGGCGCAAGCCUGAUGCAGCCAUGCCGCGUGUAUGAAGAAGGCCCUCGGGUUGUAAAGUACUUUCAGCGGGGAGGAAGGGAGUAAAGUUAAUACCUUUGCUCAUUGACGUUACCCGCAGAAGAAGCACCGGCUAACUCCGUG